rnacentral:rRNA from 1 species
AUUGAACGCUGGCGGCAGGCCUAACACAUGCAAGUCGAACGGUAACAGGAAGCAGCUUGCUGCUUCGCUGACGAGUGGCGGACGGGUGAGUAAUGUCUGGGAAACUGCCUGAUGGAGGGGGAUAACUACUGGAAACGGUAGCUAAUACCGCAUAACGUCGCAAGACCAAAGAGGGGGACCUUUGGGCCUCUUGCCAUCGGAUGUGCCCAGAUGGGAUUAGCUAGUAGGUGGGGUAACGGCUCACCUAGGCGACGAUCCCUAGCUGGUCUGAGAGGAUGACCAGCCACACUGGAACUGAGACACGGUCCAGACUCCUACGGGAGGCAGCAGUGGGGAAUAUUGCACAAUGGGCGCAAGCCUGAUGCAGCCAUGCCGCGUGUAUGAAGAAGGCCUUCGGGUUGUAAAGUACUUUCAGCGGGGAGGAAGGGAGUAAAGUUAAUACCUUUGCUCAUUGACGUUACCCGCAGAAGAAGCGCCGGCUAACUCCGUG